GCAAGAAAAAACUCCAAUAUCCGGCAAGCAACCAAGCAACCAAGGACUAACCACCAUUAACACCACAACCAAGCUCCCAAACUGAAACCCACUCUAAAUACUCGAGCCAAUCGAUUAUCAGCCACCCCAAACCCCAAACCUCAACUACCCGUAGCCUGAUUUCAUGUGGUGCAUACGGUGGCUGCUGGUGACGCGCACGGUGGAAGGAGAGGGAGAAUAGGCAACUUGAAGUUUGGAUUUUCUUUGUUUGCUGCUGGAACUUGUUUGUUUUGGGGGGUUUAGUAUUAAAAAAAAAGAAAUAUUUUAGUUAAUGGGUUGGUUUAUGUAAGGUUUGAUGG
rnacentral:lncRNA from 1 species